CUUACUAAAUUCUUUAGUGUGUUCAGCUUCUCUUGGUGGGGGAAAACAAGUCUAUAAAAGUGCCACUAGCUUGUUUUAACUUCUGUAUGUGCACCUUCACGCCCUGGAGAGGGGUAUCAGACACAGCCUGACUGCCCGAGCAGUUGCGGACUGGCCCAAUUUCCUGCAGAGUGCUGCGAAGGCCGUAGAUAUCAACUUCAAAGGUUUCCCACCCCCU
rnacentral:lncRNA from 1 species